AUUGAACGCUGGCGGCAGGCCUAACACAUGCAAGUCGAGCGGUAGAGAGGUGCUUGCAUCUCUUGAGAGCGGCGGACGGGUGAGUAAUGCCUAGGAAUCUGCCUAGUGGUGGGGGAUAACGUUCGGAAACGGACGCUAAUACCGCAUACGUCCUACGGGAGAAAGCGGGGGAUCUUCGGACCUCGCGCCAUUAGAUGAGCCUAGGUCGGAUUAGCUAGUUGGUGAGGUAAUGGCUCACCAAGGCGACGAUCCGUAACUGGUCUGAGAGGAUGAUCAGUCACACUGGAACUGAGACACGGUCCAGACUCCUACGGGAGGCAGCAGUGGGGAAUAUUGGACAAUGGGCGAAAGCCUGAUCCAGCCAUGCCGCGUGUGUGAAGAAGGUCUUCGGAUUGUAAAGCACUUUAAGUUGGG
rnacentral:rRNA from 1 species